GUGGGGAAUAUUGCACAAUGGGCGAAAGCCUGAUGCAGCAACGCCGCGUGAAGGAUGAAGGGUUUCGGCUCGUAAACUUCUAUCAACAGGGACGAAAAAAAUGACGGUACCUGAAUAAGAAGCCCCGGCUAACUACGUGCCAGCAGCCGCGGUAAUACGUAGGGGGCAAGCGUUAUCCGGAAUUACUGGGUGUAAAGGGAGAGUAGGCGGCAUGAUAAGUUAGAUGUGAAAGCCUUGGGCUUAACCCGAGGAUUGCAUUUAAAACUAUCAAGCUAGAGUACAGGAGAGGUAAGUGGAAUUCCUAGUGUAGCGGUGAAAUGCGUAGAUAUUAGGAAGAACACCAGUGGCGAAGGCGACUUACUGGACUGAAACUGACGCUGAGGCUCGAAAGCGUGGGGAGCGAACAGGAUUAGAUACCCUAGUAGUCC
rnacentral:rRNA from 1 species